rnacentral:lncRNA from 1 species
GGGAACGUCGGCGCGUGCGCGCAAGGAAACGGCGGGAAAGGCCGCGCGUGCGCGCGAGGAGCGUUGCGGGCCCCACGCAGACGCGCGGAGGUAGGGAACUUUGCUAGGCUGCUGGGUCGAGGCGUCUGCACGUUCAGUCUCACCCGAGUGACUGACCGGCUGAAGAGCGGGCGGCGGCUCCGGGCCGGGCCAGGGGGAGUUGGCCCGGGGAGCCCAGAAGCGCGCACUCCGGAGGCCGGCGCUCUCGGCCCCCGAGGGUAGUGGAGUCCCCGCCCGGCGCCUGGCGGGGCCGGCCUCGGCGUCGCCCACUGGUGUCCCUUGCUGGCCGGGAACCCGUGCCGGCCGUGUCCCUGCCUGCUGGGGACGGAAGCCGUUUCCUGCCCCCCUGAGGACCCUGGGCAUCAGCUCUCUCCGCUUCUCGGAGGUUCUAGUUCCAGGGAAGGAGGAAAGAACUCACUUAAACCAGUUCUUCCUCAAGAUAAGCUAUACGGAGAAAGCAAGUUGUCACCAGCAGAAGAAACUAUGACCUUUAUUAACAAAGGUGAAUUAGCUUAACCAAGGGGGUAUUUAUAGUUUAUGUUUCACUCUCAAACUUUGUAUCUAGGUACCCACUGACCAGGCCACAAUUCCUGCCUUCCCUGUAUGCACUGUCCUUACACUAGCAGGAACUGAGCAGGAAACAGGCUGAAGUUAAGAUUUUUGCGGGGAGCGGGGGAUGCAGGUCUUUGGGGUCUAGAGAUGUCCUUAUCCCUAAAAGAAAAGGCAGAGGACUCAGAAGGAUCAGUCUUGUCACUCUCCACAGCGCAAGAGUCCCACUAAUUUGGGGCCGAGAUUAAUUCAGACCUCUCUAGGUGGUCUCUCGGGAAACAUGCCAGUUGCAAAUCCUACCACUAAGUGCUUCUGGGUAGCUUCUGUCCUUCCACCCUAUUUUUCCAAUCAGCUUUGUUCUAGCCUCGUAGGUUGUAUCCUUUAAUUUCUACCUUCUUAGGUUAGUUUUCUGUAACAGAACAACUGAACUGGGAUGAAGUCCUUUUUUUUUUUUUCUUUUUUUUGGCUUUUCUCCGGUACCGGGAACCGAACUCAUGACCUUGCGCUUGCCAGGCAGGCGCUUUUGCCGCUGAGCUAAAUCCCCAGCCCCUGGGAUGAAGUCCUUAAAUUACUCCUGAUGGUAAUUGUUUUGUCUUUGUAAUAGCUUAACAAAUAAAUCUAGGUUUUCUAUAUUAAAAAAAAAAUAAGUUGAUUGGGGUAAUAGUUGUGUAAGUCUGCGAAUAUACCAAAAUCCAUUGAAUUAUACAACUGAAAAACUGAAAUAGACAAGUUGUAUGGAAUUAAAUCUCUAAAAUUAUUACAGAACAUCAGAGAGCACAUGGCUGGGGAGCUAUACACAUUCAC